UCCCCUGCAUCGGCAGGCGGACUCUCAACCACUGCGCCACCAGGGAAGCCCUAGACCGUUCCCAGGUGAGAGUUCUGCAGUACUCCUGUUCCCGCUCAAAGUAAUGAAAACUACAGGACAUGGACACACACACACCUGCAGGCUGAGCUCUGGAUCGGCACAAGACAAACUCCUAGAAAUAGGAGUGGAGUGAAAAACCACGGAGAAAACUACUGACCCAGAAGAAACAGACACACUUUUUGUGGCCUCUCACAUCUCUGCCAGGGGAUACAAAUGUUAACCGUUUUUUGCAACUUCUUGCUACUUUGCCCCCCCCAGGCCAAAUGAAACUCAGUUGAGAGCCAAAUCUGCUUCCCACCCCUGACCCAAAACAUCUGGUUUGUGAUAAGUACUUGAAUACCCUGUGUUUCCUAAAGAAUUUGAUGGUUGUGGUGUUGGCACGAGUCACAGGCAGAAGAGUUGAUGAGCUAAUCAGAGCCUGCAUGUGUGAAGGUGUGGAGGACCUAGUUCCUCUCACACAGUGUUUGUACAGCACGUCUGGGCAGCAGCCGGGGACGCUAGGAGAUGGUACCCAGCGCUAGGCCCAGCCCCCAGUGAAUGGGCACUUUCUCUAAUUUCAACCCCAGGUUGUACAGUACGUGCCUGAGGGUUUAAUCCUGGAGCAAUUGUAGUCCACAGUUGAUAAAAUAACAAGAGAACGAUAGCUGGAGCAGCAGAGACAGGAAGCAAUUUUGGCACGUGGAUAUAUACUUUUAUAGUCAUACGUAAAUGUGAUAUAUAGCAAAAUAUGUGCAUCUGUAUGUCUUCCAUGAAGGUUUCUAAGAGAUGAUUCUGUUUUUCUCUUAAACCUACAUUUCACUCCUCCAAAAAUAAAAUACUAUCCACACUUUCCUGGGCGCUGAGCUGCACAAGUUUGAUUUGCUGUUCAGCACGGCAUACUCUAUAUUUUAAGGCUGUGGAUCCUCCUGAUCAUACUUGUAUAUGACAAUAGCCUCCUACGUGAAAAAUAUUUUAACACUUAUGAGCCACCGGCUGAUAUCUUAUUCUUGCAUGACAUUUUCGAGACGCGUUUGUAUAUGUUAUCUUUUUAGAUCCUGCUUCUGGUCCUGCUGUCAUCUGUCACUGCCUCCGUUUUUACUGUUGAAGAAACUAAGAAACUGAAAGGUCUUCACUGUGAGAACCUAGUAGAGCUACUCGACGUAAAACUCACAAAAAUGUGCCUCCCUCUCUGCCAAGACUGGACCCCCUUAGAGUUUUUAGCUCUCAGAGUUGGCCGCAUUGAAUCUCCAGAAAUUCAUCCAUUCCAGUUCAGGUUUUCCUGUCCCAGCACUGGUUCCCAUGGAGGUAGCUACAAAUGGAGAAUGAAUGAAAGAAGCUUUGCGAGGAUAUGAGAGAAUGAAUGCUAACUCAGUUAACCAGAAACUCCCAAGGAUAAAACUGAUCAGCUCCUUGGAUCCAAAAAAUUAAAAAGAUUCAGUUGUUCUCACUUUUGGGUAGAUACAGUUUUCCUUCAAAGAGCAUUUGAAGUAAAAUACUAUGUAACUUUAGGAAAGCUGUUAAGAGAGUAAAUUCUAAUAAGUCUCAUCACAGGAGAAAAUUUUUUUUUCUUUUUUCUUUCUUUUCUUUUUAUUGUACCUACAUGAGAAGAUGGAUAUUAGCUAAGCCUCUUGUGGUAAUCAUUUCAUAAUAUAUGUAAAUCAAACCAUCAUGCUGGAUGCCUCAAACUUAAAAGUGUUGUUUGUCAAUUAUUUUUCAAUA